rnacentral:rRNA from 1 species
CAGCAGCCGCGGGAAUACGAAGGGUGCAAGCGUUAAUCGGAAUUACUGGGCGUAAAGCGUGCGUAGGCGGUGAGUUAAGUCUGCUGUGAAAUCCCCGGGCUCAACCUGGGAAUGGCAGUGGAUACUGGCUCGCUAGAGUGUGUCAGAGGAUGGUGGAAUUCCCGGUGUAGCGGUGAAAUGCGUAGAGGUCGGGAGGAACAUCAGUGGCGAAGGCGGCCAUCUGGGACAACACUGACGCUGAGGCACGAAAGCGUGGGGAGCAAACAGGAUUAGAUACCCCUGUAGUCCCUGUCUCUUAUAC